UACGGGGGGAGCAAGCGUUGUUCGGAUUUACUGGGCGUAAAGGGCGCGUAGGCGGCCACGACAAGUCACUUGUGAAAUCUCCGGGCUUAACUCGGAAAGGUCAAGUGAUACUGUCGGGCUAGAGUACAGAAGGGGCAACUGGAAUUCUCGGUGUAGCGGUGAAAUGCGUAGAUAUCGUUUGGAACGCCAAUGGUGAAAACAGACAGCUGGGAGUGUGCUGACGCUGAGACACGAAAGCCAGGGGAGCGAACGGG
rnacentral:rRNA from 1 species